rnacentral:rRNA from 1 species
CCCUUAGAUGUCCGGGGCCGCACGCGCGCUACACUGACGAAGUCAGCGAGCAUGUCCUACGCCGACAGGUGCGGGGAAUCUUGUCAAACUUCGUCGUGAUGGGGAUUGAUUAUUGAAAUUCUUGAUCAUCAACGAGGAAUUCCUAGUAAGCGCAAGUCAGCAGCUUGCGUUGAUUACGCCCCUGCCCUUUGUACACACCGCCCGUCGCUACUACCGAUUGAAUGGUUUAGUGAGAUCUUCGGAUUGGCGCCACUGCGGCUCAGCAAUGGGCUCGGUGGAUGCCGAAAAGUUGAUCAAACUUGAUCAUUUAGAGGAAGUAAAAGUCGUAACA